UGAUGCCAGAUAAUCUGCAUGGAUUGAGCCCCGACCACGGAGCCAGCCAAGCGUUUGACUCUGGGACUUGUCAAGCCUCACACAUCUAGGAACAGGCGCGGCUGUCCCGUGCAGAGAUGCGGAAGUGAGCCAGCGCCAGGAGUGAAGCCUGGUCUUCGUGAUGUGAACGUCUGUGCUCCCUCCCGCAGGCGGCACUGCUGGGAGAGAAGGGGAGGCGGGGACCAAGAGGAGGGUGUGAAGAGGGAAGAGAAACUCAGAGUUUGGAGAGUCUGGGACGCUGGAGGGGAGGUGGACUCCGGGGAGCCGAUUCAGGAGACAGACGGCUCUAGCCAGGAAAAGCAAGCUGGCAGCCGCUGGGACCGAGCCCGUAAGCCAAAGGGCUUGGCCAAGGAGGAAGGAAACUGCCAGCACGCGCACAUCUGCACCCCAGGAGCCCAAGCUGCUCUCCGCGAAGCUGGGGUUCUGUGGAUAGCAGGGGGGACGGCACCCUCCCUAUGCGUGAGGACCCGAGGGGAACCCAAAGAGGAGACCCACAUAUUGUAAUUCAGAAGGUGCCACACCCCAGGGGCAUUCAAGGUGCGAGGACGAGGAGGGGUGGGGAGGGGGCAGGGGUGGAGAGAGAAAAUCACAAGCAGGCUCCGUGC